AGUUCCAAAAUCACCUGAAGUUGUGCAGUGCAGUUGACACAAUAGAAGGAAGGGAUGCCAUCCAGAAGGACCUGGACAAACUUGAGAAGUGGGACCACAAGAACCUCAUGAAGUUCAACAAGUCAAAGUAUAAGGC